rnacentral:rRNA from 1 species
GACGAACGCUGGCGGCGUGCUUAACACAUGCAAGUCGAACGGAAAGGCCCUGCUUUUGUGGGGUGCUCGAGUGGCGAACGGGUGAGUAACACGUGAGUAACCUGCCCUUGACUUUGGGAUAACUUCAGGAAACUGGGGCUAAUACCGGAUAGGAGCUCCUGCUGCACGGUGGGGGUUGGAAAGUUUCGGCGGUUGGGGCUGGACUCGCGGCUUAUCAGCUUGUUGGUGGGGUAGUGGCUUACCAAGGCUUUGACGGGUAGCCGGCCUGAGAGGGUGACCGGCCACAUUGGGACUGAGAUACGGCCCAGACUCCUACGGGAGGCAGCAGUGGGGAAUAUUGCACAAUGGGCGGAAGCCUGAUGCAGCAACGCCGCGUGCGGGAUGACGGCCUUCGGGUUGUAAACCGCUUUCGCCUGUGACGAAGCGUGAGUGACGGUAAUGGGUAAAGAAGCACCGGCUAACUACGUG